rnacentral:rRNA from 1 species
AUGGCAGUGGCAAUAUGGCACAUAUGGGAAAAUAGAAAUGCCUACCGUAAUGGCAAAGCUUUAAAUCAUCCUCUUCGUGUAGUGAGAAAGAUCAAAGCUUAUGUUGAAUUUAUCAAUAUGCAUUCUUUUAGUUCGACCACUUCCAUUAGACGUGAGACCUUGAAGUCAAACCAAAAAUGGUCUCCGCCGCCGGAUGGGUCGAUGCUCGUCAAUAUGGAUGCAACGACAUUCUCCUAAUCUGCAAGAGCGGGUUUUGGUGUGGUAAUACGUGAUCACCGGGGAAGGGUGCAGGCGGCGAAUAAAGGUUACUUUGAACGAAUUCAAAUUCCUGAAAUAGCAGAAGCCAUGGCACUUCGUCAAGUCUUAAUCCUUGCCAAUGACCUUGGCAUACGGAACAUCAUGGUAGUAUCUGAUUGCCUGUCAUUGAUCAACAAGGUCAAGGGUUUAGGUUUUGAUAGGUCCCCUAUUGGAGCCAUAGUCCAUGAUAUUAGAAAAUGUGCCACAAAGUUUGUAUCUUGUACUUUUAUUCAUGUCAAUCGUACUUGUAAUGAGGCAGCACAUGUUCUGGCCAAAUAGGCAGAGCAUGAUGUUUGGUCCUCCUGGAUUAAUGAGUUCUCUGAUGUAAUUAGGACCAUUAUCUGUAAUGAACUAAUUAUGAAUGAAUGAAAGGGUGUAGCUGCCCAUUACCUAAAAAAAAGGGUUAGCCGCGGCACAUCCUUGAUCGGCACAGUACACGUGCAUCAUGAUACUAGUACUCGAGAUGGCAUGCCGGUAGCGACAGUGAACGGACCAAGACGGGAACGCCGGCCUGGCUCACUGUCGACGUCCCUCGCGGCCUCAGGUAGUCAGGUUCCAGCUCCCGGACGGCGCUUUCCUUGUUGUCCAGCUGCCGCCGCAGCUUGUCCAACCACCGCGAGGAGGAGCUCCACCAGGAUGGCGAGCGCGAGCUGGUAUAGCGCGUACGUACAGGAGCAGCGCCCCCACGGCCCUGAAGCACGUCAGCGGGUAGGUUAG